rnacentral:lncRNA from 12 species
CCCCCCCCCCCCCCCCCCCCCCCCCCCCCCCCCCCCCCCCCCCCCCCCCCCCCCCCCCCCCCCCCCCCCCCCCCCCCCCCCCCCCCCCCGGCAGCCCCCCGGCCAAAGCGCGCCGCUCGCCCUCGCCCCCGCCCUCCAACCGCGCCCGCAAGAGCCGCGCCUCCGCCUCGCCCGCCAGGCCUGCAGCGCCCAAACAUAAGAGUACUGAGAAAAGAGAAUCUCCUUCGCCAGCACCCAAGCCCAGGAAAGCAGAGUUGUCGGAAUCAGAAGAAGACAAAGGAGGCAAAAUGGCUGCAGCAGAUUCUGUCCAACAGAGGCGCCAGUACAGGAGGCAAAAUCAGCAGUCUUCAUCUGAUUCUGGUUCUUCAUCUUCCUCAGAAGAGGAGAGGCCCAAGAGGUCGAACGUGAAGAACGGGGAGGUGGGCCGGCGCCGCCGGCACUCGCACUCGCGCAGCCCCUCGCCCUCGCCGCGCCGGCGCCAGAAGGAUUCCUCCCCUCGGUCUCCAUCUCCCCCCCCGCGCAGACGUUCUCCCUCCCCACGGAGAUACUCCCCCCCGAUCCAGAGGAGAUAUUCCCCAUCUCCCCCUCCCAAAAGGAGAACAGCCUCUCCUCCUCCCCCUCCCAAAAGAAGGGCCUCCCCUUCCCCCCAGUCCAAGCGCAGAGUCUCCCACUCCCCACCGCCAAAACAGAGGAGCUCCCCGACCGCGAAGCGGCGCUCCCCUUCCGAAUCUUCCAAGCACAGGAAGGGGUCUCCUCCCAGCAGAUCCAACAGGGAAACACGUUCUCCACCCCAAAACAAAAGGCAUUCACCUUCACCACGGCCUCGAGCUUCCCACCCCUCGUCCAGCCCCGCGCCGCCGCGCCGGGGAGCGUCGGCGUCGCCGCAGAGGAGACAGUCGCCCUCCCCCAGCAGCCGGCCCAUCAGGAGGGUGUCCAGAACACCAGAACCCAAGAAAACAAAGGCUUCCACCCCCAGCCCCCGGCGCGUGUCCUCGUCCCGCUCUGCGUCAGGCUCACCUGAGACAGCUCCCAAAAAGCACCAAGGACCUGCAUCUCCUGCCCGCUCUCGCUCUCCUUCUGCAAACUGGUCACCUGCAAAAAAGGCCAAGAGCCCAACUCAGAGCCCAUCACCUGCCAGGAACUCAGAUCAAGAAGGUGGUGGCAAGAAGAAGAAGAAAAAGAAGGAUAAGAAGCAUAAAAAGGAUAAAAAGCACAAGAAACACAAAAAGCAUAAGAAGGAGAAGGCAGCAGCAGCUGCAGCAGCUGCUGCUGUGGCUGCAGCAGACACCACCUCAGCACAGGGAGAGCAGGAAACAGAGACAGAACCCAAAAAGGAGACAGAAAGUGAACCUGAGGACAACCUGGAUGACCUAGAAAAGCACCUGAGGGAGAAGGCCCUGAGGUCCAUGAGGAAGGCGCAGGUGUCCCCCCCCUCCUAGGCAAACCCUUUGAUAUAAUGUACAUUUUAUUUGGUUUGUACUCAGAAUUCAAUUUCAAAUUGCUAAAUGUGUUUGAGCUUUAGAAUAUAACAUUUGUUGUAAUAAUUGCUAGGUUGAGGUUCACCAUGUACAAAGGGCAUGGAUUUACAUUACAAAAGGUGUCCACAGUGUACUAGUGACAUUCUUUCAUUGACAGUCAGCAUAAUUUCAUUUAGAGUGAGACUUUUUAGAAGCAGUAGGAAUUUGUUUUGGAGGUUUGAAACAUGACCGUCAGUUCCCUCCUUUCUUUGAAAUCCAACAGCCUUGAGCAGAAUUUGUGAGGGUCUCAUUUGACUUCUUUUGUAUCACUUACAUGAUGCUACUAACCUUUGUGGUUUGUAGGCUUGCCCAGGAGUAAAACCACUGCAGAAUUCAAGGAAGUACAUCUCUAUUUUAAUGCUUUCUACUGUUGCCUGUGUAGUCUCCAUUCAAGCCAAUCAAGAAUAGCAAUUUAGAGUGGUACAUAAAUGAAAGCAUGUUGUUUACCAGGACACUGUGGGUUUAUAUUGAUGUAACAUGUUGAUUUGGAACACUGGAAUUUCAUUUGUAUUUUUAUGUUCUUUUUUUAAAGGGCAGUUUCCAUGAUCAGCAAUCCCAGAAAAAAAAAAUAAUUCCUUCAGUUCCAUAAAUUUUGUUUGUGAGCUGUCGUUGCCCCAUUCAUAAAUCUUGUCUCGUUACGGUUCUUCAGAAUGGUCUGAGCAACUUUCAGAGCUGUGUUCUUUGAAAGUUUAGAGGAACCUGAACUUUGGAUAUUGUCAUGUUUUCACUGUUCUUUGUUUUUGUUUUUUUAACUAAAGCUAUAUAAAGCUUGUGGAUUAAACAAAAUAAAUUUCUAAAUUUAAACAGAUGUUGGCUAUUU